AUUGAACGCUGGCGGCAGGCCUAACACAUGCAAGUCGAGCGAGCGGCGGACGGGUGAGUAAUGUAUGGGGACUGCCCGAUAGCGGGGGAUAACUUAUGGAAAGGGUGGCUAAUAACGCAUACUAUCGGAUCACCCAUAUAGGAUUAGAUAGUAGGUGGGGUAAAGGCUCACCUAGGCGACGAUCUCUAGCUGGUCUUAGAGGAUGAUCAGCCACCCUGGGACUGUGACACGGCCCAGACUCCUACGGAGGAAGCAGUGGGGAAUAUUGCACAAUGGGCGCAAGCCUGAUGCAGCCAUGCCGCGUGUAUGAAGAAGGCCUUAGGGUUGUAAAGUACUUUCAGCGGGGAGGCGUUACCCGCAGAAGAAGCACCGGCUAACUCCGUGCCAGCAGCCGCGGUAAUAC
rnacentral:rRNA from 1 species